rnacentral:lncRNA from 1 species
CAGGAAAAGUAGUUAUCAUCUGUAGUAUAUGAGUUGGUAUCUUGGGGUAGUAUAAGGAAGCUGAGAGAGGGGAAGAAAAUGCCAGACUGCGAUAAUACUGAGCCGGGGAUAAGCUUGGUGCUAUCUCUUCUUCUUAGUUUUCUUGUUUCUUUUGUGUUAGUGUUGAUUCUAGUGAAGAGAAUCGAUUUAAUGAAUUAAUGUUUGAUUUAAAAAGUUGUUUAUGGAUCAUUGUUUAUCAAUUGUUGUGAAAGAUUGAGGACGUAUGGAAGUUUCCAGUCACUAUUUGUCGCAAGGUUGUAAGUUCAGUGGAGAGGAAUUGUAAUCGAAGGAAUUGACUUGAUCAAAUUCUGUGGAUUGGAAGUUGUUCGUUCCAGGGUUUGGGAUAUGCUUGUGUAUUCGUGAAUUACACAGGGUACUGAAAUCAUUGUCAUGGAUGUUAUUGUAUUGAUAUGAGAGAGUGGACAGUAGGAGGAAAAGUUAAGUGUUUUUUUGGUAUGGUAAGCAUUCAGCAGUAGCGGUUAAUUGCAUGACCCUAACAAUUAGAACUCAUAUACAUGGUCUUUCCCUGUGUUCAAAUUCCCCUAUAUGGAUUUAUUUUGGGAGGUUUCUUCUAGAAUAAGUAAAACGACAACCACAUUUUGGCGCCACUGUCGGGGAUUGACAACAUUAUUGUGUGUUAGGAAUUAACUAUCGAAGCAGUAAAGGAAAUUAGGAAGCAAACUCAAUAGAAAUAAUAAAAGAGUAUGGUUAUUAAGAAUGAGAAUUUAACAGCAAAGAGAAUAAAGCAAUCAAAGAAAAGAACAGAGCGAUCAUAAGCAAGAAAUUUGUUGCAUAAUGAGCGAGAUCGUAAAUUGAAAAAGAAGCAUCGACAAAGUUGGAUUAAGCCGUGGUUGCAUGCUUGUUGACAUAUUCGAUCAUACCCAAAAGACGAUCGACCUCUAAUAUUUCAAAAGUACAUACCAUUAAAGAAAUUACCAAGAGCACUCACGGGGAGCGCUGCUAAUAGUCCAACAUACCUCUCGAAGCCGUUAACGGAAAACGAAGAAGGCACAAAGGAAUUAGGUACUCCACUGGGUAUUUUCUCAAUUGGAAAUAUGUCCGAUCUUAACAAGACUGAUUCUGAAGAUCGGCAUAAAUCACUUGUCAAUAAAGACCAAUUCAGAGUAUAUCAAAACCUGUCGUUUUCACCUCAUAUUCAACCAGUAAAAUUAUUUAGGGAUAAUAAGAGUCAAUCGGGAAGGCCUAGAAGUCCGAAAAAGACUUUUGCGAGAGACAAUUUUUAUUUUAAUAAGGAAUUGAGUGAAACACCAGCAUCUUUAAUGACGUCCAGAGGACCAGCAGUUCCGAUUGCAGUUCAAAUGGGUGCAAUGGGCGAUCGUACAACUAGCGUCGUACCAUUACCUACUUUUUGGGGUUUGCCAGGUGCGGAUCUAGAUCAACAUUCGUCUCAAUUCUUGACGGCAUGUGUAGCCAAUAAUGGAAGAACAAAAGACAUUUGGCUAAGAUGGUUGCCAACGACAUUGAAAGACACAGCAUUUGAGUGGUAUAACCGCCAACCUGUGGGACAAUUUAUCAAUUGGGAGGCAUUAAAAAAUAUAUUUUUAGCCCAUUUUUGACCAAUUGGUUUUGAAAAACGUCUUAGAGAAAAAUUAAUGAAUAGCAGAAUGAUACCAAGAGAAGUGGUACAGUCAUAUUAUGGUCCUAUAGUAGAUAUACUUCGAAAAUGGCCAAAUAACCAAAUGCCAGAAUCGUUUGUGUUGUCCAUAUUGGUUAAUGGACUACACCCACCAGAAUUGAAGAUGUUUGUAAAGGAGGCCCAAUCAGCCACCAUUGCAUCAUCUCUUGAGUGAGCAAAAGUAUGGGAGGAAUGUCACUAUGACUAGAACUUAACAAUUGGAGCCACGAUGAUUCCAUCUCAAGGAGGUUAUCAAAUGACAAAUUGGAAUGACGCAUCAGAAAGUUAUCUGGGAAGGAAUAAUUAUGGUACAAUUCUACAGGGAAUAGUGGAUACCAUUCUAUUGCAAGUUGUACCACCAUCAUCAUCACACUCGUAUGCGCCUUAUUCCACAUAUCAAAAAUCAAUACCUACAAAGGAAUUGCCAAAUGUAUUGGUAUCAAGGGAUCCCAAUGAAUCAUUGUUGUUAACAUUGACAAAAAAAAUGGAUGAAUUGGCUGUGAAUCUAGCCAAGGAUAAAGAAAAAAGGCAUAAACCAACCAAUAUGCGUCCCAAUGUCUAGUGCAGCAAUUGUAAGGGGCAAGGUCAUUUAGUAACAGAAUAUCCUUCACCACCCCAAAUGACUGUAUAAUGUACCUUUUGUGGGGGCAAGCAUAUUACCACCAACUAUUGGAAUUUACGGAAGCAAUAAUAACUCAGUAACCAGAUAAUGACUCAACCAACUUCGUGGGAUGUCAAUCAAGUACAAACAAAUAAUAAGUUUGGUUAGAAUGGAAAUCGAGCGAAUAAACAAAACAGGAAUUAUUCUAAUUUCUUCAACUCUGAAUUUCACCAAGAAGGUGUAUCCAAUACUCACGGAUUGGCGAUGAACCAACUAGGAUACCAUCAAUAUCCACCCAUGAAGAAGCGAAUGCCAGACUCUACAAUAACAAUGGGUCAACCAAGAUCCUUUAUUCAUCCGACAUAGAACGGACCUAGCCAUUAUAUACUAGUAGAGACACCCAUUAUCCUUGAAGGAGUUGGCAAGAGACCACUUUGUUGCUAUCGUUGCAGACAAAUUGAAUAUUAUGCAAGUGAAUGUCCUAAUCCAAGGGCCACUGAUGACUAUGCUCCAAUAUGUGGAAAUUAUAAGCAGUUUGGUCACACUUAUCAACAGUGUAAUGCGCCCUUUAAUUAUAAUAACUGGGAUCAGCAAAUACAAAUAAGCCAACCGACGGAAGACAAAGGCUCUGUUCAAUGAGAUUCACCAGUACAUUGUAUCAAGGUAGUGAAUGCAGUGCUUACCAGAGGCCAACAAAAAGAUAAGAAUCCAAUUCAGGACCUAGAUGAACCAAUCGCAGGAGAGCAAGUAGCGCGGUCUAUGGAGCUAAAUGAACCAAUAUCAGUAUUGCGACGUAUCCCAAUAUUGAGACCUCAACAGAUUGAGGAACCCAAUUCGGUCCCAUAUACCAAUUUUCAGGGACCAUCAAGAUCGAUCCCAACUGACCAAGUACUAAUACCUGUAUAGCCCAAUAAAAGAUCUUACGCAUUAAAAGAACCUUUAGUGGUAGAAAAGUUGGCGAAGUUACCAACGGCAAUCCCAAUUGCCAGAAAAGAAUUGCUGCCGAAUGGAGUAAAAUCAAAACCAAUGAAAUACAAAAGAACAUUAGAAAUUACUCUCAAUAUGGAACCCUACGACAUUCUAAAGGAUUUGGAUGUUAUUCAGCCUUCAAUUACAAUGAAGCAACUCUUGGUUGUAGCAUUGAAAUGUCCAUCUAUAUUGAAUUUAGCGUUAAUAUGACAAAGAUCUCAUACUAAAGAAAUUCAUGAAGUUAACUUAAAUCCAGAUCCGGGAGCACCAACAAUCGAUGUAUCAAUCGAUGGCAUUUUAAUUCCAGGGAUACAAGUCGAUGGUGGCUCCAGUGUGAAUUUAAUGAACGCGGAUACAAUGGAAGACUUGGAUCUAAAGUAAUUGCUACUUAUGACAUUGGUCUUGCAAAUGGUAGAUCAUAGUCGGGUAAAGCCAAUGGAAAUCUUACGCAAUAUUGCCACUGUAAUUGUGAGAUUGACAUACAAAAUUGAUUAUAUUCUAUUUCGAUUACAGAGUUCUACAUUAUCGUAUCCCAUUUUAUUGAGUAGACCUUGGUUUUAUCAAGCCAAAGCUAAGAAUGAUUGGGGCUGAGGCACAUUGACAAUUAGAAAAGGCCGAGAUGAGAUUGUUCUACAGAUGUACUCAAUACAAUAUCAUGGAGAAUCUCAAUUGCCAGAAUCAAAAUUUACAUCGGACAACGAGAGUCAAUCGAUUGAGGCAGAUGAUAAUACUAUAGGUUCACUGCAAUUUGGGGUAGGAAAAAAUACUUCAACAGCAAAGGCAGGAGUCUACCAAUGUAGAAGUCCCGACGAAUAUUUACUGCAUCAAGAGAAUGUGACUAAAUCAGAUCAUGCUAUUACCGAAUGGAUGAACAAUCUCGUAGUCAAUAGAGUCAGCACAUUGGAACCAGAGUUGGAUGGUUUCCAUAUGUAAAAUAAUACAAGAUAUUCAGAUCAGAAGAAGACAAUUAAAUCAGAGGUUGUUGAAGACCUUGUGUAUCAAUCUAUUAACAUGGGCACCAACGAAACUCCACAUCUAAUUAAAAUAUAUGUCGGUAUUAUCGGUACAGAAUUGGAUGCUUGAAAACAGUUUUUUGUCCAUCACAAAUCUGCCUUUGCAUGGUCGUAUGUAGAUUUGAAAGAAAUUCUAGCCGAUGUGUGUGAACACCAGAUUAUUCUGGAGGAGGAUGUUAUGACAGUUCGUCAAAGACAACACCGGCUUAAUCCAAAAUAUUUCUUUUUAGUGAAAGAGAAUUGGAUAAACUUCUCAACGUGGGUUUUAUUUAUCAUGUUCCGCAUAGUGCAUGGGUAUCGCCAAUCGUGAAGGUACGGAAGAAGAAUGGAAAAAUCAAGAUAUGUCAAGAUUUUUGAAAGUUAAAUGCGGCUACUAAGAAGGACUAUUUUCCGUUACCAUUUACAGACAGUAUUUUGGAUGCAGUGGCCGAACAUGAAUGUUACUCAUUUUUGGACGGAUUUUUGGGGUAUAAUCAAAUUAAAAUUGUCAAAGAAGACCAGUUGAAGACUAUGUUUACCACAGAUUGGGGUACAUUCGCCUAUAAAGUAAUGCCAUUUGGGUUAUGUAAUGCCUCGACUACUUUUCAACAGAUAAUGAUACAAGCAUUUCAAGAUUACCUACGUUUAUUAAUGGAGAUAUUUUUGGACGAUUUCUGCACCUUUAGCACAAUGGCUGAACAUCUAGCAUGCGUAGAUAACUAUUUGAAUCAAUGCGAUAAGUAUGGGAUAUCUCUAAAUUCGGAGAAGUGUCAAUUUGGCGUACCAUCGGAAAAGCUAUUGGGACACAUUGUCUCUAUUGAAGGUAUUGCUAUGGACCCCAAUAAAGUUAUUCGUAUAUUGGGUUUACCAAAGCUAGAUACGGUGUCGGUCGUACGUGGUUUCAUCGGUCCUGUCAGCUACUAUUGGUGUUUUAUUGAAUCCUUUGUGGUUAUCUGUCAAUCGUUAAUCCACUUAUUAAAGAAACCUCCAUUAGACAGAUCUAGCUCAAUAUGGACUGAAGACUCGACUUUCGCAUUCGACAAAUUGAAACAAAAAUUGAUAUCUGCCCCAAUUCUUGUAACACCUUGUUGGACAAAACCGUUUCAUGUCUAUGUAGAUGCAUCCAAUGUUGCUAUUAGAUCCGUUCUAAGUCAAAAGGAUGAAAAUGGAUUAGAUCAUCCCAUAUAUUAUGCAAGCCGAUAAUUCAUUGCUGCAGAAUGAAAUUAUAAUACUACCGAGCGAGAGGCCCUCGGAAUGAUUUACUCUGUACAGAAAUUCCACCACUAUCUACUUGGAUACUCAUUUGUGUUCCACGUUGAUCAUGAUACGCUUAAGUACAUAAUAAAUAAACCUCAAUUGAGCGGACAAAUUGCUCCAUGGGUGUUACUUCUUUAGAAAUUCAACUUUACGAUUAACGUUCAACCCGGCAAGAAACAUGCCAAUGUAGAUCACUUAUUCCGUUUAUCUAAUAUACAGGAUAAUGAGCCGAUAAACGAUGCUCUUUCGGAUGCACAACUAUUCGUUGUGGAUGUCAUUACACCCGAAUAUGGUGAAUUGUUCCAAUAUCUAACGUUUCAAAUUUUUUCCAUUUCUUAUAAUGAAAAAUUAAAGAAGCAUCUGAUUUUAAAAAGUGUGUCGUAUACCAUGAUUGGAGAUGCCUUGUACAAACAAGGGCGGGAUGGAAUUUUACGCCGUUGUAUCUUUCAAAGUGAAGUUCAUAUAAUUUUGAAAGGAUGUCAUUUGAUAGUUGUGGUGGACAUUUCGUGGGAGAUAAUACUGCUCGCAAGGCUUUAAUGGCUAGUUAUUGGUGGCUCACAAUGUUUUUUGAUGCGCACCAAUUUGUUCAUCGUUGUGAUCCCUGUCAACGAAUUGGUCGACCCACGGGUACUUCAACGAUGCCGUUAGUACCAAUUUUGGCACGGACACCAUUUGAGAAAUGGAGAAUUGAUUUUGUUGGACCCAUUACACCAGCAUCGAGAUAUGGAAAAAAGUGAUAUAUUCUAGUAGCCAUAGACUACGUAACCAAAUGGGUGGAGGCCAUGGCAACAAAAACUGAUAAUGCCAAUACUGUAGCAAUAUUUUUAUAUAAGAACAUUAUCACUCGUUUUGGUUGUCUGAAAAAAUUGGUUAGUGAUCGCCGUACACAUUUUCUUAAUGCCACAAUUGAAGCAUUAACAGUGAAGUAUGAGAUCAAGCACCGCAAAACUACACCUUAUCAUCCACGAGUCAAUGGGUAGACCAAAAAGACAAACGAUAUCCUAUGCAAGAUCUUAAUAAAGACUAUUUCAGGAAUGGGAACCGAUUGGAACACUAAAUUAUUUGCAACUUUAUGGACGUAUCGUAUUGCAUAUAAAAUAACUACCAAUUCUACCCCAUUUCAAUUGGUAUACGAUCAAGAGAUAAUUCUACUAAUUGAAUUGGAAGUCCAAAGUUUACGAAUUGCGUUGGAUGAACGUCUAGGAGACAGAGACUCUCUUCAAUAUAGGUUAGUCCAAUUGGAGAAAUUGGAUGAAGCUAGGGCUACGGCUCUCUUGAUCAUGGAAGCUACAUAGCAUCGUAGAAAGAGUUAUUAUGACAGUAAGUUACGACCAAAAUAUUUUAUGUCGAAUGAUCUGGGGCUACUUUAUGAUAGCCGCUUUAACAACUUUUUCGAUAAAUUUCAAGUACGAUGGCAUGGGCCAUAUCGGGUAGUGGAAGGUUUUCUUAAUGGUUCCGUUCAAUUGGAAGAUUUGCUGGGAACUCACUUUACAACACGUGUUAAUGGAAACCAGUUACAUUUGUAUUAUACGUAAAUCCAAGACGGAUUUACUCAGUGGAGGGAGGGAGUCUCCGUAAUAAUGAUUAUCGACAAGAUUGGAAAGGUUGUGAUAGUUAAGAAACGAUUGAUGGUUAGUUUUGAGUACUGAAAUUGACUAGUCAUGAACUUAGACAUUCUUGAUUAGAUGUGAGAUUAAGGUAUACUAGAUUAGAUGUUCUUGAUUUGGACCCCGAGUAAGCAGUUAGGAGCGGGGCACUCAUAGAAGGUUUCAUUGUUGCAAAUUUCAGACAUUGUGCUUUGAAUUGUAAGCUUUACGACAGUAAUCAACAAUAGUGUUAGUACGAGGAAGUAUUGAGAGUUUGAUUUUCACAAUGUCGAUGGAAAGAGCAAAGAGAGCACCAAAACGAUUAAAAAGUCAUCGCAAUGUGAGGUCUAAGUGCGAUCUGGGAUCGCCGUCUCUUGUAGUUAUUACCAACAUGGAACCGAUGAAGUUAGAUAUAUGUUGAUCAUUGAAAAGGCAAAAAGAUUUUAGAAAUGCACAGUUAUUUAUGUUUUUGCAAGGAUCGGAUAAACUACCACCAAUUGAUGUAGAAUGAGUGGCGGAACAUAUAAAAAAUUAUAAUCCAGAGGAUGGUUCGAGUGUGGUAAGAGGAGUCCUGAUUGGGAUAGAUGAGAAUAUCUUACACAAGGUUUUAUAUUUAUCAACCGGAGAGCUUGAAGUGGGAGGAGACACGUCAAAUGAUUUCAGGCCAGGAAGCUACUUCAAAGGAAGGAUGUCGUCUCUUGAGUAAAAUCAAGGAUGGAAGUUACAGGAGGCUCUUACGCCCGAACUUAUGGGAUGGAUGUGGUUUGUUCAGAAGCAGUUAGCAUUGAAUCGGCAUACCAUCUAUAUGGCAAAGCGAUCACUGAUUUCUGGGAUAGGAACACUGAAAGACAUGGUAUUCAAAUGGGGAGCUUAUGUGGCCACAAGGAUACAUGCAGAAAUAGGAGCUAAGCGGGAGAUGGAGAAGUUUGCUUCACUAUUAUGUUCCAAUUAUGUAAACUCAGUGAUUGAGUAUACAUUGAAACAGGAAUCUCAACCAGUAGUUCUAAGUUUACAAACGGGAACAGUUAGUCCAGGGAUAAUGGUGUAUGAAGUAGGAGAAUCUAGCAGAGCAGCAGAACGGGAAGCAAGACCAAUAUCUAUACCAGAGCGAGUUCCAAUUCGGUCGACAAUAGAGAUGACGACACCAAUACCAGUUCCAAGGGAAAGCAACUAAUUAAGGUUUCAACGGGGUGUAACGGAAGGGUGGAAUCUUAAGGAAGUUAUAUUGGGUCAAAUUUCUCAGCUGCAACUUAUGAUGAGUAAACUCGAAGAUGAAGGUAGCUUAAAAAGGCAAGUGGAAGCGAGCAAGAAAAUAAUAUUGAAGUAAAAUUACAAAAUCAUGGAACAGGAACAAGUCAUCAAGGUAGAAUCAGAAUCUAAGAUAUGAGUAAAAUGUGAAUUGGAUGAGAAAGUGGAAAAAAUGUUAAAGGAGAAACAGAGGAUUCAACAUAUCCUGAAAAAUCAAAGGCAAGAAUUAUUACAAACUUACAAAUCGUAUAGAUUGGAACAAGAAAAGAUGAAUGCUCAGUUGAAGGAGAGAAGAAGGAGGCAUUUGAGAUUGAAAAGAAAUAAUUGGAUGACCAAUAUCAAAACAAUACGGAUGAGCUACAGGUAGAAAUUGUUAUUUUGAAGGAAAUAAUAAUGAAAUUGGAGAGUGAUUUGGUCAGUAUUGGUUAGUCACAAACAUUUGCCUCAAUGGGAGUAAGAAUUGGAAAAUUAGAGGAGAAAUUGCAACAGCAGCAAUAACAACUGGAAGUUAAAGAUGCCAGAAUCCUCCAAUUGGAAGCUCAGGUUUGAGAAUUGGAAGCAUAUAAUAAAGAUUUAACAGCUCAAUUAAGGGCAGAGAUUCAGGACAAGUCGAAGGAAGAAGAUAUAGUAUUGGAACAAGACCAAAUGGAGUCAGCGCCAAAAAUCAAAGAGAUUGAACAAUCCAGUUAAAAAAAAAAAAGGAUUGAUUUUUGUUUAUCAAUACUGUGUUUGCGGGGACGUUGCACAGUUAGGAGUGGGACUAUGUAGAAUAAGUAGUUAUUUUCAAAAUAUAGAUAUCUACUGUAUAGUAUAAACAGAAAUAGAUAAUUGUUGAAAAGGUGGUUCAGUAGAUAGAAUGGAUGAAUAGUCAGGAAAAGUAGUUAUCAUCUGUAGUAUAUGAGUUGGUAUCUCGAGAUAGUAUAAGGAGGAUGGGAGAGGGGAAGAAAAUACCAGACUGUGAUAGUAUUGAGCCGGGGAUAAGCUUGGUGCUAUUUCUUCUUCUUAAUUUUCUUGUUUCUUUUGUGUUAGUGUUGAUUCUAGUGAAGAGAAUCGAUUUAAUGAAUUAAUGUUUGAUUUAAAAAGUUGUUUAUGGAUCAUUGUUUAUCAAUUGUUGUGAAAGAUUGAAGACGUAUGGAAGUUUCCAGUCACUAUUUGUCGCAAGGUUGUAAGUUUAGUGGAGAGGAAUUGUAAUUGAAGGAAUUGUCUU